GAUAUCAAUCAAAAUGAAUCGGCUAAGCAAAUGGAAAGUACAACUGAGGACUUCGAUAAUCAGAAAAAUGAUGUACAAGAUUUUACACCAAAAUCGAAUUCCAUUUUCGGAUCAUAUGAAAAUAUAUCACAAUUUUUUAGU